rnacentral:rRNA from 1 species
CCUACGGGUGGCUGCAGUGAGGAAUAUUGGUCAAUGGCCGAGAGGCUGAACCAGCCAAGUCGCGUGAGGGAAGACGGCCCUACGGGUUGUAAACCUCUUUUGUCGGGGAGCAAAGAGAGUCACGUGUGACUCAUUGAGAGUACCCGAAGAAAAAGCAUCGGCUAACUCCGUGCCAGCAGCCGCGGUAAUACGGAGGAUGCGAGCGUUAUCCGGAUUUAUUGGGUUUAAAGGGAGCGUAGGUGGAUUGUUAAGUUAGUUGUGAAAGUUUGCGGCGCAACCGUAAAAUUGCAGUUGAAACUGGCAGUCUUGAGUACAGUAGAGGUGGGCGGAAUGCGUGGUGUAGCGGUGAAAUGCUUAGAUAUCACGAAGAACUCCGAUUGCGAAGGCAGCUUACUAAACUGCCACUGACAUUGAUGCUCGAAAGUGUGGGUAUCAAACAGGAUUAGAUACCCCAGCAGUC